UACGUAGGGGGCUAGCGUUGUCCGGAAUCAUUGAGCGUAAAGCGCGUGUAGGCGGUCCGGUAAGUCCGCUGUGAAAGUCGGGGGCUCAACCCUCGGAUGCCGGUGGAUACUGUCGGGCUUGAGUACGGAAGAGGCGAGUGGAAUUCCUGGUGUAGCGGUGAAAUGCGCAGAUAUCAGGAGGAACACCAAUUGCGAAGGCAGCUCGCUGGGACGUUACUGACGCUGAGACGCGAAAGCGUGGGGAGCAAACAGG
rnacentral:rRNA from 1 species